GAUGAACGCUGGCGGCGUGCCUAAUACAUGCAAGUCGAGCGAAGCGGGGACGGGUGAGUAACACGUGGAUAACCUCCUAUCAGACUGGGAUAACUUCGGGAAACCGGGGCUAAACCUGCUCCUUAUAGAUGGAGCCGGGCUGCAUUAGCUAGUUGGUAAGGUAACGGCUUACCAAGGCAACGAUGCAUGGCCGACCUGAUAGGGUGAGAGGCCACACUGGACCUGAGAAACGGUCCAGACUACUACGUGAGGCAGCAGUAGGGAAUGUAACGCAAGUGGCGAAAGCCUGACGGGGCAACGCCGCGUGAGUGAUGAAGGGCUGCGUCUAGUAAACGUCUGUUAUUAUGGAAGCUGUACCUAAUCAGAAAGCAACGGCUAACUACGUGCCAGCAGCCGCGGUAAUAC
rnacentral:rRNA from 1 species